GAAUCUUGCGCAAUGGCCGAAAGGCUGACGCAGCGACGCCGCGUGCGGGAGGACGCUUUUCGGAGUGUAAACCGCUGUCGGGUGGGACGAAGGUCCCGGGGAGGCAAUGCCCUGGGGAUGACGGUACCACCAGAGGAAGCACCGCCUAACUUCGUGCCACCAGCCCCGGUAAUACGAAGGGUGCGAGCGUUGUUCGGAAUUAUUGGGCGUAAAGCGCACGUAGGCGGCUGGGUAAGUCUGACUGUGAAAGCCCGGGGCUCAACCCCGCGGACUGCAGGGGAUACUGCCUGGCUGGAGACAAGCAGAGGUUGGUAGAAUUCCGGGUGUAGCGGUGGAAUGCGUAGAGAUCCGGAGGAAUACCAGAGGCGAAGGCGGCCAACUGGGCGUGAUCUGACGCUGAGGUGCGAAAGCGUGGGGAGCGAACAGG
rnacentral:rRNA from 1 species